rnacentral:rRNA from 1 species
GACGAACGCUGGCGGCGUGCUUAACACAUGCAAGUCGAACGGAAAGGCCCUGCUUUUGUGGGGUGCUCGAGUGGCGAACGGGUGAGUAACACGUGAGUAACCUGCCCUUGACUUUGGGAUAACUUCAGGAAACUGGGGCUAAUACCGGAUAGGAGCUCCUGCUGCAUGGUGGGGGUUGGAAAGUUUCGGCGGUUGGGGAUGGACUCGCGGCUUAUCAGCUUGUUGGUGGGGUAGUGGCUUACCAAGGCUUUGACGGGUAGCCGGCCUGGGAGGGUGACCGGCCACAUUGGGACUGAGAGACGGCCCAGACUCCUACGGGAGGCAGCAGGGGGGAAUAUUGCACAAUGGGCGGAAGCCUGAUGCAGCAACGCCGCGUGCGGGAUGACGGCCUUCGGGUUGUAAACCGCUUUCGCCUGUGACGAAGCGUGAGUGACGGUAAUGGGUAAAGAAGCACCGGCUAACUACGUG